ACCAAACCCUAUUUUCUAGGGAUCCUCCCCUGUCCAGUUACCGCCGCCACACUCCACCUCCUACCUCGGGACCUCCUGCCGAUCCAAAUUCUCUUCGACCAAGUCCCUUGUUUUGCGCCGCCGACCAACCACAGUCGCCACCUCCUCUACUCCCAAGGCCCCGAGCUCCUCCUCUCAACUCAGGGCCCGAGCGGUCGACUCCCUCAUCCACGAGCUCGAUCAAGAGAGGAGCUCCCGAUCAUGCGCACCUCUGCCUUGUUUUGCCCAUCGCCGACGCUACCGGCGUCCACCACUAGGGGCACCAGCAUCUGGCGCGCCACUUGCUUCCUCCAUCCAUGGAGACGAGCUCCUCCCGAACCAGGCCGUGCCCCUAUUUCCUUCUCUCUCCCUCGAGUCCUCUCUUUGGUUCCUCAAGUUCCCUUUCCUCUCUCUGUUCCACAGGACACCAUGGAUGCAACAACUCGACCCCGCAGCGGCCUCGACUCCUCUGCUCCGGUCGUCAUCGCCGGAACGCGCCACCACGGAGCCGCAGCCGAACCCCAUGGCGCCCGUCGUCGGCGACCCCGAGUGCUCCUGAGAUGCCCUUGCUCUAUUGGCCUCCUUCGAGCACCGCCCCGUCCUCUACUCCAACCCACGCCUCCGGCGGCCUCGUUGUCGUUGUCACCUAGUAGGUGUUUUCCCCGAUCCCGGUGCCCCAUCUUCGACCGUAGCCAGGGACGCCCAGCGCCGCUCACCGCCGUUCGCCAAGCCACUGCUCCUAGUCCCUUGCAUCGAGGCGCCACAUCCGCUACUGUGGUCCCGCCGUGCUGCACCCCUACUUCGUCUCGUUGUUGGUGGAGCAGCGAGCCAGCGGCCGCAACCUCUGCCCCGCUCGCCCAUGUUGACCCCGACCAAGCGCGCGUGGACCGGUCAACUCCGUACCCUGGGCCGGCCCUUCUCCUCCUCUACUUCCAGCCAGGACUUGGCCGAUUUCUUGUUUCGUUGCGAUCGUGAGGAUUCGUUCGACUACUUUGGUUCGACUACUUCAUGGAUUCGAUCUUCUUCCUAGCGGGAUUUCAUGCAAGAUGACCAUCACCUUGGAUACCAUUACUAUCUUUGUUUUGCCAGGUGUCUCGAUGCUAUCGGUAAAGCUAAUGCGAUGGUCUGAUGCGAGUGCGAUGCUUGCUUGUUUGGAGUUCUUCUGCUUCAUCUUCUUUGAUCAAGGGAUAGGUUCCGGGUCGGGGAGCUUGGGAUUAGCAGGGUUGUGGAGAGUGUUAGCCUUUAUCUUGUAUUCUCAUCUAUUCAGUACAUGGUAUGUUGUAAUGAUAUCCACCUUGCUAUGCGCUCGAAAUGCGGUUGUGCUCCAAUCAUGAAUUCAUCACGUGAUUGGAAUAGAAUCGCAUCUUCGGCGCUACAUUGUCCCUACAGUGUUGAUAAACACAAGUGAUCGAGCUCUGGCUUGUGGGCCGGUCCCGUGCACGCC